GUGAUCCUUCAUCGGUAGACCUUCCACCAUCUAUUGCCCUCUUCAGAAGCCAGACCAAAAUGGGGUGCUGUGAUCUUGGACUGUGAGCCUCCAAAACAAUUUCAUCUUAACUCUCUCUCAACUGUCAGGAUGGAUUUUGCUCAGAAAAUUUGAGAGGGGCUUGAUUGUCAGGAAAGCUGUCACUAGAUGCAACAUUCCUAUAAUAACUACCAAAGGAGGCACAGUGUGCUGACAGGCUUUCUAACCAAAAUGGACUGGUUUAUGCUAUUGAGGCUACUGUUCCUGAGUGCAGGGCCUUAGCAACAAAAUGAUAGAACAACAUUUGAGGUUGUUUGGUUUGGUGAGUUUAAUAUAGGUUAGUAUUUUAGGCAGUUUUAUGAAGAGUGCU